UUUGGAGGCAGAAAUUCCCUAAAGGCAUCAUCCCACCUGGCUUGGAAGCUAAGCAGGGCCAGCCCAGGUUGGUGCUCGGACAGGAAACGGUCAAGGAAUCCCAGGUGCUGUUAUAU
rnacentral:rRNA from 11 species